rnacentral:rRNA from 1 species
GAUGAACGCUGGCGGCGUGCCUAAUACAUGCAAGUCGAGCGAAUGGAUUAAGAGCUUGCUCUUAUGAAGUUAGCGGCGGACGGGUGAGUAACACGUGGGUAACCUGCCCAUAAGACUGGGAUAACUCCGGGAAACCGGGGCUAAUACCGGAUAACAUUUUGAACCGCAUGGUUCGAAAUUGAAAGGCGGCUUCGGCUGUCACUUAUGGAUGGACCCGCGUCGCAUUAGCUAGUUGGUGAGGUAACGGCUAACCAAGGCAACGAUGCGUAGCCGACCUGAGAGGGUGAUCGGCCACCCUGGGACUGGGACACGGCCCAGACUCCUACGGGAGGCAGCAGUAGGGAAUCUUCCGCAAUGGACGAAAGUCUGACGGAGCAACGCCGCGUGAGUGAUGAAGGCUUUCGGGUCGUAAAACUCUGUUGUUAGGGAAGAACAAGUGCUAGUUGAAUAAGCUGGCACCUUGACGGUACCUAACCAGAAAGCCACGGCUAACUACGUGCCAGCCGCCGCAGUAA